rnacentral:tRNA from 1 species
UCCUUGGUGGCUCAGAUGGUAAAGCGUCUGCUUAUAGUGCAGGAGACCUGGGUUCGAUCCCUGGGUUGGGAA